rnacentral:lncRNA from 1 species
GGAGUCUGGCUCUCGAGAUUCGGAGGGCGGUGCCUCUUCGAUUUUGGAGCAAGCAAUCUUGUUGGGAGUGUUGUCUCGAAUGUGAGUAAAGGUUGGGCAUGUUUGCUAGUCUACCUUGCCACGAAGCACAAAGGUUGAUACACAGGGACUUUCCAAUUAUCCAGCAAUGGUACUGUUCCUUUACCCUCUCUCUUCGAUUUUGAGAAAGUAGUCAUGUUGGGAGUCUGGCUCUCGAGAUUCGGAGGACGGUGCCUCUUCGAUUUUGGAGCAAGCAAUCUUGUUGGGAGUGUUUUCUCGAAUGUGAGUAAAGGUUGGGCAUGUUUGCUACUCUACCUUGCCACGAAGCACAGAGGUUGACACACAGGGAGUUUCCAAUUAUCCAGCAGUGGUACUGUUCCUUUACCCUUGUGGGUAAUAAUAUGGUAGCUAGACCUUCAAAAUUUAUGUGUCUAAACUUUGUUAGUGUUGUUUCUUUGCUAUUCUUUUACCUUUCUUGGUCAGAGCGAUGUAGUGGGAGCUGCAAGCUUCACGUGCUCAACUUUGGCAGAGAACUUUGGCAAAGUUAUCUGUGGUACCCAUGAGCUAUUGUUGCGUGUGGGAAGUGGGUGAUUGAACAGUAAGAUUCAUGUGCUUUCUACUUCACCAGAAGUCUUCGACAGAAUGCCCAUAAUUUCUGCAAAGCUGAGUGUGCGUGUGACAGGUGAUGACAAGGCUAGAAAAGUAGGUGCCUCUUCGAUUUCUGAGAUCGGCCCUCGUGGUCUCUGAGCAGCCCAGCUUUUGAGAAAGCGAGCGCCUCUUCGAUUGAUUCGAAGAACGAUGCCUCAUCGAUUUUUGAGAAAGCAGUCACGCUGGGGGUCUGGCUCUCGAAAAUUCGGGGAGCAGUGUCUCUUCGAUUUUUGAGAAAGUAAUCAUGUUGGGAGUCUGGCUCUCGAGAUUCGGAGGGCGGUGCCUCUUCGAUUUUGGAGCAAGCAAUCUUGUUGGGAGUGUUUUCUCGAAUGUGAGUAAAGGUUGGGCAUGUUUGCUAGUCUACCUUGCCACGAAGCACAGAGGUUGACACACAGGGACUUUCCAAUUAUCCAGCAAUGGUACUGUUCCUUUACCCUAUCUUCGAUUUUUUAAGAAAGUAGUCAUGUUGGGAGUCUGGCUCUCGAGAUUCGGAGGACGGUGCCUCUUCGAUUUUGGAGCAAGCAAUCUUAUUGGGAGUGUUUUUUCUCGAAUGUGAGUAAAGGUUGGGCAUGUUUGCUAGUCUACCUUGCCACGAAGCACAGAGGUUGACACACAGGGACUGUCCAAUUAUCCAGCAGUGGUACUGUUCCUUUACCCUUGUGGGUAAUAAUAUGGUAGCUAGACCUUCAAAAUUUAUGGGUCUAAACUUUGUUAGUGCUGUUUCUUUCUUUGCUAUUCUUUUACCCUUCUUGGUCAGAGCGAUGUAGUGGGAGCUGCAAGCUUCACGUGCUCAACUUUG